rnacentral:rRNA from 1 species
UACGAAGGGGGCAAGCGUUAUCCGGAUUUACUGGGUGUAAAGGGAGCGUAGACGGAAUUGCAAGUCUGAUGUGAAAAUCCGGGGCCCAACCCCGGAACUGCAUUGGAAACUGUAUUUCUAGAGUGUCGGAGAGGCAAGUGGAAUUCCUGGUGUAGCGGUGAAAUGCGUAGAUAUCAGGAGGAACACCAGUGGCGAAGGCGGCUUGCUGGACGAUGACUGACGUUGAGGCUCGAAAGCGUGGGGAGCAAACAGG